rnacentral:piRNA from 1 species
UCAUUAGUUUGCCGUCUUUCA